UUUGAAACUGGUGAACUAGAGUACUGUAGAGGGGGGUAGAAUUUCAGGUGUAGCGGUGAAAUGCGUAGAGAUCUGAAGGAAUACCAGUGGCGAAGGCGGCCCCCUGGACAGAUACUGACACUCAGAUGCGAAAGCGUGGGGAGCAAACAGGAUUAGAUACCCUGGUAGUCCACGCCGUAAACGAUGUCUACUUGGAGGUUGUGGCCUUGAGCCGUGGCUUUCGGAGCUAACGCGUUAAGUAGACCGCCUGGGGAGUACGGUCGCAAGAUUAAAACUCAAAUGAAUUGACGGGGGCCCGCACAAGCGGUGGAGCAUGUGGUUUAAUUCGAUGCAACGCGAAGAACCUUACCUACUCUUGACAUCCAGAGAAGCCAGCGGAGACGCAGGUGUGCCUUCGGGAGCUCUGAGACAGGUGCUGCAUGGCUGUCGUCAGCUCGUGUUGUGAAAUGUUGGGUUAAGUCCCGCAACGAGCGCAACCCUUAUCCUUGUUUGCCAGCGAGUCAUGUCGGGAACUCCAGGGAGACUGCCGGUGAUAAACCGGAGGAGGGUGGGGACGACGUCAAGUCAUCAUGGCCCUUACGAGUAGGGCUACACACGUGCUACAAUGGCGCAUACAGAGGGCAGCAAGCUAGCGAUAGUGAGCGAAUCCCAAAAAGUGCGUCGUAGUCCGGAUUGGAGUCUGCAACUCGACUCCAUGAAGUCGGAAUCGCUAGUAAUCGUGAAUCAGAAUGUCACGGUGAAUACGUUCCCGGGCCUUGUACAC
rnacentral:rRNA from 1 species